rnacentral:rRNA from 1 species
GGCUCAGAUUGAACGCUGGCGGAAUGCUUUACACAUGCAAGUCGAGCGGCAGCAUGGACCUUCGGGUCGAUGGGCGAGCGGCGAACGGGUGAGUAAUAUAUCGGAACGUGCCCAGUCGUGGGGGAUAACGUAGCGAAAGUUACGCUAAUACCGCAUACGAUCUAAGGAUGAAAGCGGGGGAUCGCAAGACCUCGCGCGAUUGGAGCGGCCGAUAUCAGAUUAGGUAGUUGGUGGGGUAAAGGCUCACCAAGCCAACGAUCUGUAGCUGGUCUGAGAGGACGACCAGCCACACUGGAACUGAGACACGGUCCAGACUCCUACGGGAGGCAGCAGUGGGGAAUUUUGGACAAUGGACGCAAGUCUGAUCCAGCCAUUCCGCGUGCAGGAUGAAGGCCCUCGGGUUGUAAACUGCUUUUGUACGGAACGAAAAGGUCUCUAUUAAUACUGGGGGCUCAUGACGGUACCGUAAGAAUAAGCACCGGCUAACUACGUG